rnacentral:rRNA from 1 species
CUACCACAUCCAAGGAAGGCAGCAGGCGCGCAAAUUACCCACUCCCGGAACGGGGAGGUAGUGACGAAAAAUAACAAUACGGGACUCUUUUGAGACCCCGUAAUUGGAAUGAGUACACUCCAAACCCUUUAACGAGGACCCAUCAGAGGGCCAGUCUGGUGCCAGCCGCCGCGGUAAUUCCAGCUCUGAUAGCGUAUAUUAAAGUUGUUGCGGUUAAAAAGCUCGUAGUUGGAUCUCAGUUCCCGACGGGCGGUCCGCCUUACCGGCGGUCACUGCCCGGUCGGAACAACACGGCCGGUUUCCCCCGAUGAUCUUCACCGGUUGUCUCGGGUGACCGGCGAGUUUACUUUGAAAAAAUUAGAGUGCUCAACGCAGGCGCGACGCCUGGAUAAUGGUGCAUGGAAUAAUGGAAUAGGACCUCGGUUCUAUUUUGUUGGUUUUCGGAACACGAGGUAAUGAUUAAGAGGGACAGACGGGGGCAUUCGUAUUGCGACGCUAGAGGUGAAAUUCUUGGACCGUCGCAAGACGAACUACUGCGAAAGCAUUUGCCAAGAAUGUUUCCAUUAAUCAAGAACGAAAGUUAGAGGUCCGAAGGCGAUCAGAUACCGCCCUAGUUCUAACCAUAAACGAUGCCAGCCAGCGAUCCGGCUGCGUUCCUCAAAUGACGCGCCGGGCAGCUUCCGGGAAACCAAAGCCUUUGGGUUCCGGGGGAAGUAUGGUU